GGGGAAUUUUCCGCAAUGGGCGAAAGCCUGACGGAGCAAUACCGCGUGAGGGAUGACGGCCUAUGGGUUGUAAACCUCUUUUUUCAGGGAGGAAAAAAAUGACGUUACCUGAAGAAUAAGCAUCGGCUAACUCCGUGCCAGCAGCCGCGGUAAGACGGAGGAUGCAAGUGUUAUCCGGAAUCACUGGGCGUAAAGCGUCUGUAGGUGGUUUGAUAAGUCAACUGUUAAAUCUUGAGGCUCAACCUCGAAACCGCAGUCGAAACUAUCAGACUAGAGUAUAGUAGGGGUAAAGGGAAUUUCCAGUGGAGCGGUGAAAUGCGUAGAGAUUGGAAAGAACACCGAUGGCGAAGGCACUUUACUGGGCUAUUACUAACACUGAGAGACGAAAGCUAGGGUAGCAAAUGGGAUUAGAUACCCCAGUAGUC
rnacentral:rRNA from 1 species